rnacentral:rRNA from 1 species
UGGGGAAUAUUGCACAAUGGGCGGAAGCCUGAUGCAGGGACGCCGCGUGAGGGAUGACGGCCUUCGGGUUGUAAACCUCUUUCAGCAGGGAAGAAGCGCAAGUGACGGUACCUGCAGAAGAAGCACCGGCUAACUACGUG